GAUGAACGCUGGCGGCGUGCCUAACACAUGCAAGUCGAGCGAACGGACGAGAAGCUUGCUUUUCUGAUGUUAGCGGCGGACGGGUGAGUAACACGUGGAUAACCUACCUAUAAGUCUGGGAUAAUUUCGGGAAACCGGAGCUAAUACCGGAGAAUAUUUUGAACCGCAUGGUUCAAAGGUGAAAGACGGUCUUGCUGUCACUAAUAGAUGGUUCCGCGCUGCAUUAGCUAGUUGGUAAGGUAACGGCUUACCAAGGCUACGAUGCAUAGCCGACCUGAGAGGGUGAUCGGCCACACUGGAACUGAGACACGGUCCAGACUCCUACGGGAGGCAGCAGUAGGGAAUCUUCCGCAAUGGGCGAAAGCCUGACGCAGCAACGCCGCGUGAGUGAUGAAGGUCUUCGGAUCGUAAAGCUCUGUUAUUAGGGAAGAACAUAUGUGUAAGUAACUGUGGACAUCUUGACGGUACCUAAUCAAAAAGCCACGGCUAACUACGUG
rnacentral:rRNA from 1 species